UGCGUGCUCGCUGAUUACCCCGGCGAUUAACCAAAUGCCAGGAUGGAAAAUCGAUGGAAGCCAAAAGGACGGGGAAGCUUAAGGAAAAUCCUGACAACCCAUGUGGACCGUCAAGACCGGCUGACUACGCACAUUCUCUGACACCUCACAAUGAUCCGGUAUUCGAAGGUGGAUGUUUGGGAGCUAUCCGCUCGCCUUCGAGGUGGUUGCCACCACGACAUUGACGUGCUUCGCUUAGUCCACGAUUUUGUCAGUGCUCGAAUGUGCAGCUCCAGGGUUGAGUUUUUGUCAAUUGCGCUUGGUGCAUGAUUUGAGAAUGUUGGCGGCGUUCUUGAAGGGUGAGAAGCUGCAGCUACCUUAUGUGAAUGGAUGCGUUCGUGGAUCGGGAAUAGCAAGAAGUUGGUGGAUGUAAUGCAAAGGCCAGGAUCGGAGGUGGUUGAUAGAAGAGGUCGCAGUCGGCUUGAAGCAGAUUCAAUGCAAGGUGGUGUAUUUUGACUCUGUGGAGGGUUUCAAACACUGGGCAUUGAUAUGGAGAAAAGGGAGAAGAAUCCUCGGGGCCCUUACGAAGUGUUGCUGAACUCUGAAGAAUAUGCCUCUGAUUCAGAUCUACAUCCUUACAUUGGCAUCUAUGACAGACGUCUUCCUUGCUGUGGUUGUGGAGUCGGGUGGUUCUCGUUCCUUGCGGGAUUCUUACUCCCCUUGUUCUGGUAUUAUGGCACAAUUCGAUUUCUACUGACCCAACAUCAUAACGACCCCAGAGAGAGACCGGGCCUCGCAGCUUGUGCAAUUGCUACACUUGUAAGCACUGUGGCACUGGUCAUCGCUCUCAUUGUGCUCCUGGUGGAACACAAAGGCUGGCUCCCUUUGCCAGCUUUAGGUUGAAUGGUUGCUAUUGUGUUACGUUAAUCAACGCUUUGUAAAGCACUAUUGAGGGGUGGCCAUUAGCGCUGUCUAGCAUAUUCCCUUCAGAUUGGUUUCUGUCGGUGUUGUGAGAUUGACAGCUUUCCAUACCUAACAAUGGAGGCUUUGCUUUAGUCAGGCGUAACGUGUGUGGACAUGCACCGAAGCAUUGUAAACCGAUGUUGAGCAGAGAGAUUGGUUUACAGUGAUUGCGAGCACAUGUACUGUGUAGAUAGUAGAAUAUACCCCAAGGUUGUAGUUUUGAAUGGAUAUUUGUUUCAUUGGUUGAAAUUAAGUCAAUGGACGAUGUAAAUUUUUUUGCAGUAAUUGUUUUGUUUAUUUGAGAAA